rnacentral:rRNA from 1 species
UGAGGAAUAUUGGUCAAUGGUCGCAAGACUGAACCAGCCAUGCCGCGUGCAAGGAAGACGGUCCUAUGGAUUGUAACUGCUUUAUACAGGGAAGAAAACCCUCCCACCGUGUGGGAAGCUUGACGGUACUGUAGGAAUAAAGGAUCCGCUAACUCCGGUGC